rnacentral:rRNA from 1 species
AUUGAACGCUGGCGGAAUGCUUUACACAUGCAAGUCGAACGGCAGCACGGGGGCAGCCCUGGUGGCGAGUGGCGAACGGGUGAGUAAUACAUCGGAACGUGCCCGGUCGUGGGGGAUAACGUAGCGAAAGUUACGCUAAUACCGCAUACGAUCUGAGGAUGAAAGCGGGGGACCUUCGGGCCUCGCGCGAUCGGAGCGGCCGAUGUCAGAUUAGGUAGUUGGUGGGGUAAAGGCCUACCAAGCCGACGAUUUGUAGCUGGUCUGAGAGGACGACCAGCCACACUGGGACUGAGACACGGCCCAGACCCCUACGGGAGGCAGCAGUGGGGAAUUUUGGACAAUGGGCGCAAGCCUGAUCCAGCCAUUCCGCGUGCAGGACGAAGGCCUUCGGGUUGUAAACUGCUUUUGUACGGAACGAAAAGGCUCUGGCUAAUACCUGGGGCUCAUGACGGUACCGUAAGAAUAAGCACCGGCUAACUACGUG